UACGGAGGGUGCAAGCGUUGUCCGGAAUCACUGGGCGUAAAGGGCGCGUAGGCGGCUCAUGAAGUCUGUGGUGAAAGUCCGGGGCUCAACCUCGGAUCGGCCGUGGCGACUCGUGGGCUGGAGCACUGUAGAGGCGGGUGGAAUUCCGGGUGUAGCGGUGGAAUGCGUAGAGAUCCGGAGGAACACCAGUGGCGAAGGCGGCCCGCUGGGCAGUGGCUGACGCUGAGGCGCGAAAGCGUGGGGAGCAAACAGG
rnacentral:rRNA from 1 species